UACGUAGGGUGCGAGCGUUGUCCGGAAUUAUUGGGCGUAAAGAGCUUGUAGGCGGUUUGUCGCGUCUGCUGUGAAAAUCCGGGGCUCAACCCCGGACUUGCAGUGGGUACGGGCAGACUAGAGUGUGGUAGGGGAGACUGGAAUUCCUGGUGUAGCGGUGAAAUGCGCAGAUAUCAGGAGGAACACCGAUGGCGAAGGCAGGUCUCUGGGCCACUACUGACGCUGAGGCGCGAAAGCUAGGGGAGCGAACGGG
rnacentral:rRNA from 1 species